GUGACAGGAUGCGAAUCUCGAAAGCCGGUCUCAGUUCGGAUUGGAGGCUGAAACUCGCCUCCAUGAAGUUGGAUUCGCUAGUAAUCGCGCAUCAGCCAUGGCGCGGUGAAUACGUUCCCGGGCCUUGUACACACCGCCCGUCAAGCCAUGGGAGUUGGGGGUGCCUGAAGUACGUGACCGCAAGGAGCGUCCUAGGGCAAAACCGAUGACUGGGGCUAAGUCGUAACAAGGUACC
rnacentral:rRNA from 1 species